GAUGAACGCUGGCGGCGUGCUUAACACAUGCAAGUCGAACGAAGCACUUUAUUUGAUUUCCUUCGGGACUGAUUAUUUUGUGACCGAGUGGCGGACGGGUGAGUAACGCGUGGGUAACCUGCCUUGUACAGGGGGAUAACAGUUGGAAACGGCUGCUAAUACCGCAUAAGCGCACAGCAUCGCAUGAUGCAGUGUGAAAAACUCCGGUGGUAUAAGAUGGACCCGCGUUGGAUUAGCUAGUUGGUGAGGUAACGGCCCACCAAGGCGACGAUCCAUAGCCGACCUGAGAGGGUGACCGGCCACAUUGGGACUGAGACACGGCCCAAACUCCUACGGGAGGCAGCAGUGGGGAAUAUUGCACAAUGGGCGAAAGCCUGAUGCAGCGACGCCGCGUGAGCGAAGAAGUAUUUCGGUAUGUAAAGCUCUAUCAGCAGGGAAGAUAAUGACGGUACCUGACUAAGAAGCACCGGCUAAAUACGUG
rnacentral:rRNA from 1 species